rnacentral:rRNA from 1 species
GACGAUCAGAUACCGUCGUAGUCUUAACUAUAAAUGWUGCAAACCAGGGAUAGGACAGUGUCCAUCUCGACUCCUCCYGGACCUUGGAGAAAUUACAGUCUAUGGGUUCUGGGGGGAGUAUGGUCGCAAGGCUGAAACUUAAAGGAAUUGACGGAAGGGCACACAAAGAGUGGAACCUGCGGCUUAAUUUGACUCAACACGGGAAAACUCACCAGGUCCGGAUACACGUAUGAAAGUCAAGCUGAAAGACUUUACUCAAUGAUGUAAGUGGUGGUGCAUGGUCGUUCUUAGUUCGUGGAUUGAUUUGUCUGGUCUAUUCCGAUAACGAGCGAGACCCCGACGUUCCUAAUAGGGGUGGCAGCCAGACCGGUCGCAAGGCCGGUUAGCUCGCCGCCUGAAGUUAUACUUCUUAGACGCAUCAGAGCCGAUAAGGUUCUUGAAAUGGGUUAAUAACAGGUCAGUCAUGCCCUUAGAUGUUCUGGGCCGCACGCGCGUUACAAUGGCAUGUA